UACGUAGGGGGCGAGCGUUGUCCGGAUUUAUUGGGCGUAAAAGGCUUGUAGGUGGCCACGGCAAGUCGGAUGUGAAAUCUCCCGGCUCAACUGGGAGGGGUCAUUCGAUACUGCCGGGCUCGAGGCCGGUAGGGGGAAGCGGAAUUCCCGGUGUAGUGGUGGAAUGCGUAGAUAUCGGGAAGAACACCGGUGGCGAAGGCGGCGACCUGGUCCGUGACUGACGCUGAGGCGCGAAAGCGUGGGGAGCAAACAGG
rnacentral:rRNA from 1 species